AGGACAAACGCUGGCGGCGUACUUAAGACAUGCAAGUCGAACGGGCGCUUCACCUUCGGGUGGGUGUGCUAGUGGCGGACGGGUGAGUAACGCGUAGGAACCUGUCAUCAAGAGGGGGAUAACGCUGGGAAACCGGCGCUAAUACCCCAUGUGGUCAUGAAAAUGAAGAAAGCAGCAAUGCGCUUGAUGAGGGGCCUGCGUCCGAUUAGCUUGUGGUGGGUAAAGCCUACCAAGGCAUCGAUCGGUAGCUGGUCUGAGAGGAUGGUCAGCCACACUGGGACUGAGACACGGCCCAGACUCCUACGGGAGGCAGCAGUUAGGAAAUUUUCCCAAUGGGCGCAAGCCUGAGGGAGUAACGCCGCGUGGAGGAUGACGGCUUUCGGGUUGUAAACUCCUUUUCUGUGGAAGAGUAGAAGACGGUACCGCAGGAAUAAGCCUCGGCUAACUACGUGCCAGCAGCCGC
rnacentral:rRNA from 1 species